AUUGAACGCUGGCGGCAGGCCUAACACAUGCAAGUCGAACGGUAACAGGAAGAAGCUUGCUUCUUUGCUGACGAGUGGCGGACGGGCGAGUAAUGUCUGGGAAACUGCCUGAUGGAGGGGGAUAACUACUGGAAACGGUAGCUAAUACCGCAUAACGUCGCAAGACCAAAAAGGGGGACCUUCGGGCCUCUUGCCAUCGGAUGUGCCCAGAUGGGAUUAGCUAGUAGGUGGGGUAACGGCUCACCUAGGCGACGAUCCCUAGCUGGUCUGAGAGGAUGACCAGCCACACUGGAACUGAGACACGGUCCAGACUCCUACGGGAGCAGCAGUGGGGAAUAUUGCACAAUGGGCGCAAGCCUGAUGCAGCCAUGCCGCGUGUAUG
rnacentral:rRNA from 1 species